rnacentral:lncRNA from 1 species
UUUUUCAUCAUGUUUUUCUUCUGUCUUCCCUUCAUCUAUUACGUCGGGAAUGACUAACUCCGUCGUCUAAAAAUCACAAAGUUUUAAAAUAACGACGUUUAAUGGCGUGUAAAACAAGUAAACUAAAUACGACGUGGUAUUGAAAUACAAACGAUGGUUUAUGUUUAAAAUCGUCGUGGUAUGUAUUUCAAACGACGGUUUUAUUAAUAAUAACGACGUCUAAUGGUUUUUAAAAAAACAGAGAAUUCAAAGUUCAGAUAUGUUACCUUUUCU